rnacentral:rRNA from 1 species
UUGCCCUCUGGUGGCUCCCAGAGCCGCGGUAAUUCCAGCUCCAAUAGCGUAUAUUAAAAGUUGUUGUGGUUAAAAAGCUCGUAGUAGAACCUUGGGCCUGGCUGGCCGGUCCGCCUCACCGCGUGCACUGGUCCGGCCGGGCCUUUCCCCCUGUGGAACCUCAUGCCCUUCACUGGGUGUGUGGGAAAACAGGACUUUUACUUUGAAAAAAUUAGAGUGCUCCAGGCAGGCCUAUGCUCGAAUACAUUAGCAUGGAAUAAUAGAAUAGGACGUGUGGUUCUAUUUUGUUGGUUUCUAGGACCGCCGUAAUGAUUAAUAGGGACAGUCGGGGGCAUCAGUAUUCAAUUGUCAGAGGUGAAAUUCUUGGAUUUAUUGAAGACUAACUACUGCGAAAGCAUUUGCCAAGGAUGUUUUCAUUUAUCAGGAACGAAAGUUAGGGGAUCGAAGACGAUCAGAUACCGUCGUAGUCUUAACCAUAAACUAUGCCGACUAGGGAUCGGACGAUGUUAUUUUUUGACUCGUUCGGCACCUUACGAGAAAUCAAAGUGCUUGGGCUCCAGGGGGAGUAUGGUCGCAAGGCUGAAACUUAAAGAAAUUGACGGAAGGGCACCACCAGGGGUGGAGCCUGCGGCUUAAUUUGACUCAACACGGGGAAACUCACCAGGUCCAGACACAAUGAGGAUUGACAGAUUGAGAGCUCUUUCUUGAUUUUGUGGGUGGUGGUGCAUGGCCGUUCUUAGUUGGUGGAGUGAUUUGUCUGCUUAAUUGCGAUAACGAACGAGACCUUAACCUGCUAACUAGCCCGUAUUGCUUUGGCAGUACGCUGGCUUCUUAGAGGACUAUCGCUCACUGGGCGGCGGCGUUGACCCCA